AGUAAAAGGUUGUGAGUGAAUGUCGCCUCCUCCACUUCAUAAAGGAGACCUUUCUAUCACUUCCCCUCUCCCAGUCGAUUUCUCUGAACCGAAAGAGAAGAGGAAGUUUCAGAGACAGGGACGAGAGAAAGAAAAGAAGAUAGGAAGAAAGACAGAGAGAGAUUGAUUCCUUUUUCCAUAUCUGUUUGUAGGGAUUUUAUUCUAUAGAUUCGAGAUGACGACUAGACCGGUUGUUCCACAACAAUCGAGAGUGUUUCAAGUAUCAAGAUUUGGAGGGACUGAUAUUGCUGUUGCAACUGGGUGUCUGCCAUUGAAGAAGCACAAUAUUGGGUCCUAUGAGUUUCAGUGUUUAACCCAAAAUAAAGAAAAAUCAUAGACGCAUGAUUUGCAUCCUGAGAGUGGCUACCUACAUUCAAAAACUCACGUGCCCUCGGUGUAAACUUCCAUUUGAAUUCCUAAACGUCCAUCGUGCAAUUGAUGACAGGGGAAGUCAAAGGUGUAAACAUGGUCCUCUAUGGAGAAAAAAGGAGCCAAAGAGAGGAGGUUAAGGGGCCUGCGAGUCCCAGAUUACAAAUGGCCCAAGUCGUAGAUAGAUCUUUACUUAAGUGUUAUGCGUUCUUUGGUUAAUCACCAAGUAUGCUUAACCUCUUCGUGGUGAUACAACUUUCUAUUUGGUCCAUUUUAUAAGCAAUUAUGACGGAAACACUCUGAUACUUACAUAAACCCAUUAGUUUUCUUUUUGUUAAAAGGUUCCUUUUAAUUUCCAUAUAGCUUUAAAAAUGCGUUUGCGUGCAUACAAAUUUGCGGGGCGAUCAAACUCUAUUGAUGGAACAUACCGAUGACGGUUAACUUUGGUUGCUGGGAUUGUAAAAUUACAAUAAAUUUUUGGAGGUGGCUAUUGUAAAAUUACUUUUAAAAAGCUGGAAGAAUAGUUUUAUUUUUUAUUUUUAAAAUUAACAAUUAAUUAUUUUUUACAAUACACUUCUAAUGUGUUAACAUCUUAUAUUUUUGCUAUUUAACUUUUUACCACUGCACUUAACUGUUUUAAAUAAUUAUAGUCUUUUUGAUUUAAUGUGGCCUUCAAUUUUUGCCUAUUGAAGGAGAGUUGAUAGCGAAUGAGUUUAUUGAGAGAAGAGACAGCAACAAAAGAAUAUCAUCAUCAUCAACCAUAUAGUGAGACUGCCAGUAUAUAUUAAGUAUCGUGUUUAAUUAAUUAGGCUUGAAAUCUCUACGUAUGUGCAUGGGAUUAUAUAUGAGCUUCUCUUAUUAAUUAGUUUGAACUUUGAACACUUCUAUCCCUUUUAGUUAAUGACCUCUGCAGUCUUCUUUUAUCUAAGUAAUUGGAAGCUAGAAUGGUGAUUUUUCUCGCCUUUGCAUUCAUUGCGUUUCCCAUUAAUGACGAGGUUCAAACUCCUCAUGACAUUGUAAGUUUGUUAGUAUUGUGGUUUGGUUGAUCAAUUCUCAAACAUGACAUGCUAAGUUUUUUAAUUCGUUUUAUUGUGGGCUAAUUUUGAACAGAACAAGCAGCAUGGGAGGGCCAAGGAGAAAGAGGUAGACCUAAAAUAUUUAUAUUUUUGGCUUGGAAGGAAAUAAUAUUUCCUGAAGGAUUAUUCUGUCCAAGAUUUGAAAAAAAAUGGUUUACUAUGAAUCCUAGAUGUUUUUAUAUAGUUCAUGGUUUUUGUAUUAAGACAUUAUAUAAGUUCCUGUUAUCUCUCUCAUAAAUAUUUAAUAUCGCAAUUGUUACGUUUCUUUUGUCCAUGUGUGUAAAAGUCAAUUGCUUUGAAUGAUAAUUUUGUAAUGCAAAGUUGAACUUUGUUUGAU